GGGAUAACCAAUUAGGCCAAGUGAUUGUAAAUGUCCAAAUGACCAAGAACAAAAUGUUUCCACCUGAAGUCUCCACUGUGGAAGAUUUUGCCUUAGUGGCUGAGAACAAAAUGAGUCCAAGUUGUGGCAUCUUCGAUAUGGACACCUGAAUGUGAAAGGACUGUAACUGCUAGAAAGAAAAGGAAUGGUUCAUGGAUUACUAAAACUUCAAACACUGGACACGUGUGAGGGAUUUAUUUAUGGCAAGCAGAC
rnacentral:misc_RNA from 1 species